GUUUACUGUCAUACUCUAGUGUGGGAGCUCUAACUAUCAAGGGAACUGAAUUACACUCUGAACUGCAAGAUGAAAGUCUUUCUUCUCAUGAUUUUAUACUUGGUCAAUUGCUCUGUUGCUAGGCGCCAUCAUUCAUGCAGCAGUGGGUCUGACAGUAGUGAGAGUGGCCAACACCGCUGGAUUAGACCUUCAUUCAAUAUCUGUACUCUGUUUCCGAUUCUAUGUGUGCAACCACCUAUUCAGCCAUCAACAUCAACCACAACACAGACUUCCAGGACCACAAUCAUGUCUACCACUACAGCCCCGAGGGGAGACAGUAGUUGAAUAGCAUGGAUCUGGAAAAAAAAAAGUAGCUUAUACUACUUUGGUUUGAACUUUCCAGCAUAAGCAGCACAAAGCUGCAUAAUAAUAGGGAAAUUGAUGCUGUGAGAAUGAUGUCUGUUUUUUACAUUUUGUUACCUUGAAGCCAGAAAUGAACCAAAUUUUAUUGGCAUUCAAAAAUAUUGCAUACCGUGUUUGCAUAUUUUCACAUUUCAGUAUUGCAGCAUCCUUCAACCUCCCUUUACAAUGUUAUAUAUGUUUUGUUGAUCCUACUUAUUUGAAUGUUUUGUUUAAUUUAAAAAAAACAAAACUUAUAUAACCAGUGAGGUUGUAUGUUGCACUGUGAUUUGAAACAUUUAAAAUUUAGAGAGGCAUUCAGUCAGCAAGGUAAUGAUGAGUUUUGUUAGAGACUAGGCUUCCAGACAUUAGUGGGAGGGAUGCUGACGACAUGCAUGCGUAAUAUCCAGUCAGCGGGUACACACAACACCAACCCUAGAUCAACACAGCUUAAGUGAGGGAUGAUUGCUGAGCUGUUAAUGCAUGGCUCUGUGCUUCAUGAGUUAAACACAUAGUACUGCUUUAUUUCUUCUUCACACACCCUCUUCAGCAAUAUUUUCACUGAUUGCACAGCACUGCUUGCUCCGCUGAUUUGACAAAAAAAAGUAAUUAAGAUUGUCAUUAGCAUACACCCUUUUAACAAAGCUAGUAUGGUCUCUUACUUUCUCUUUGAUGUGAUGUGUGCAUGAAUGUGCAUUAUAAAUGUAAUCUCCUGUUUUGUGGAUGUCUGCCUAAUUUGCAAACUUGGUUAAUUUUGUAAACCAGCUGUAUUUGAUGCUUUGAUGAUUUUUUUUUCAGAAUAAAUUAUAAUUUGAA
ensembl:lncRNA